AGGACGAACGCUGGCGGCGUGCUUAACACAUGCAAGUCGAGCGGAAAGGCCCUUCGGGGUACUCGAGCGGCGAACGGGUGAGUAACACGUGAGUAACCUGCCCCUAGCUCUGGGAUAGCUCCGGGAAACCGGGAUUAAUACCAGAUACGACCACUUUAGACAUCUGUCGUGGUGGAAAGGAUUCCGGCUAGGGAUGGGCUCGCGGCCUAUCAGCUUGUUGUUGGGGUAACGGCCUACCAAGGCGACGACGGGUA
rnacentral:rRNA from 1 species